AUGGACGACUGCGGCGGCGAUGGCCGCCGGCCUCGCGCCGUCUUUAUGGCCUUCGGCACCCACGGCGACGUCUUCCCAAUCGCUGCCCUUGCUGCAGCGUUUGCUAAGGACCAACAACAGUAUACUGUGGUGUUCAUCACUCAUUCAGCACACCAGAGUUUAUCCACACAUCUAGCAGCCAGUAACGUUAGGUACAUGCCUGUGGCAAGCCCACCUGCCCUUGCUGCCGAACAACUUGAUAGUAUUUCAUAUGAUUCUGUUCAAUCGAACGCUGGUCCUGAGUCAUUUUCACGGCGGAAAGAGAUCAUUCAGACGGAGCACAGGAAAGCCUGUUUAGCUUCUGUGGAAGAAGUGUUUGGAAAUGAUCCGAGCAUUCAUAGCGACUUCACUGUGAUCAAUUUCUUUGCCCUGGAAGGUUGGCAUCUUGCAGAAUUGUUUCAAGUUAAGUGCAUCAUUGCUGCUCCUUAUUUUCUUCCAUAUAGUGCUCCUUCAUCAUUUGAACGCCAAUUUAAGCAAAGUUUUCCUCUUCUAUACAAGUACUUUCAAGAAGCUCCCCCCAACACAGUCUGCUGGACUGACAUUACCCAUUGGAUGUGGGCGCUUUUCAUGGAAAGUUGGGGAUUGUGGAGAAAUGAUUGCCUAAAUCUUAGUCCUAUUCCUUAUACAGAUCCAGUAACAAAUCUUCCUUUGUGGCAUGUACGUGCAGAGUCGCCAUUGUUGUUGUAUGGUUUCAGCAAGGAAAUUGUCGAGCGCCCAGGAUAUUGGCCCUCAAGUGCUCAUAUUUGUGGCUUUUGGUUUCUUCCUAUGGCUCGGCAGUUUUCUUGUGAUAAAUGCAGGGAGUUAUUCUCUGGAGAUUUCAAUUCUCCAUUUGAGGGUAUUCUAUGUGCAAAUCAUGCUGGCCUGGAAGACUUCCUCAUGGGAAGUUCUUAUUCGUCUUUACCUAUAUUUAUAGGAUUGAGUUCCAUUGGCAGCAUGGGGUUUCUUAGAAAUCCUAAAGCAUUUCUAAUGGUGAUUAAAGCUGUCAUAGAGUCAACAGAUUACAGAUUUAUCCUUUUCUCGUCUGGAUACCAGCCAUUGGAUUCAGCAAUCAGAUCUGUUGCUUCUUUAGCUGUAGAAUCAAGUGUAGAGGCACCUGCUCUUAGUAAUGAUAGCACUCUCCUUUUCAAUAAUCGACUCUUUUGCUUAUCUGGAUCAAUACCGUAUAGCUGGCUUUUCCCUAAAUGUGCAGCUGCUAUUCAUCAUGCUGGCAGUGGAUCUACAGCUGCCGCACUAUUUGCUGGAACCCCUCAGGUUGCAUGCCCUUUCCUGCUGGACCAGUUUUACUGGGCGGAGAGACUACACUGGUUAGGGGUGGCACCUGAGCCCCUUAAAAGACAACAUCUAAUCCCAGAUAUAGAUGAUGCCGCGAGCGUUAACAAAGCCGCAGGUGUGCUACUUGGAGCUAUCAGAUCAGCAUUAUCACCAGAAAUUAAAGCUCAAGCAACUGUAAUUGCUCAGAGACUUGCUUCCGAGGAUGGGAUUGGUGAAGCCCUCAGGAUCUUGAAGGAGAAAGUUUUGCCUUAA
rnacentral:rRNA from 1 species